rnacentral:lncRNA from 1 species
AGUCCGAUUUCCCGUUCACACCCCCCUUCCAACCCCACCCAAGGGGCCAGCUUUGCCAAGGUCAUUGCGGUAGCGCGGCAUGCCUGUGUUACAAACGCCUGCUGUAUAUUGUGUAACUCUGUCCCAUCUCCUCUUUUCGCCGUGGGUUCGGAGAAGGAUCGCAGCUCACUUUUAUAAUUUAGUGUGUACAGCAAAUUUCUGUUACGCCCGGGAAGAAGGAAAUUUGAGUUAAAGAGGAAGGCAGCUCCCUGCGCCUUGUAACAAGCAAGCUAAUUGAAACAUUUAAUUCAGGAAGAGAUACGACAAGGCCAAAAUGAAAGAGGAACCAGGCCUGCCGAGGUUCGGAGCAGGAAAACCAAAGAAGUUACCAUCCCCACGUUAAAAAUUACAUGGGGCCCGGGAAAUAGAGCGCCUGCUGUAUUUGUCAUUGAGAUUCACAAUCUUGUUUGCUGUUUAUCGGGAGGCUCACGGAGCUCUCCUGCUGGUUCGAAAAAAGGAGGCGAGGCCCAGGAAGAAAUGCUAGUAAUAAGAAAGGGAGGGAUUAGAAGCCCCAGAGAGACCGGGAGGUGUAAAUAAUAUGUGGGCAUGUGACAAUCAGCACAAAAGAAAGGAGAGACAAAGCCAAAGGCCUGAUGCCAGAGAUCCUAAAAACUCAAGUGGGUAACAGUGCAGGGAGCAUGUCCCAAAGAAAAAAGGAAAACAAAAUCCCAGAAGAUCUUUUUCCUUUGUGAUGAUGUAGUCGAAUGGAGUAAAUAAAUGUUGGGUUUGCCAUGGUGCUCCCGCAAGCUAGGCUGUGUGCGAGGAAACUAGCUUCAGAGGCACUUCCCAGGUCAGCCUGAGCCUUAGGACAAGGGGGGGUGAAGUCAGAGACCAGAGUCUUCCACCAGAAAGGAGAUGAGCCUGGGACAGAAGGAGGACUUGGUAGGGGUAGAAUUCUCGUUCUCCCCAUGAGCCCAAUCUGUCUGGGUCACCUACGUCCUUCUGCUCCUCUUCCCCCCCCCAGGACUCUCCCUUGAGUGGAUUGGCGUAGGAAAGAGCGAAAAGGCAUUUGUAACCAAAAGCUAAGGAGGGUGAAGUUAAACUCCCCAGACAACGGCCUCCUCUUCCUGAGGCUGCCUGGUGGGGUUGAGUGUGACCCUUCCUAACUGCAUGACUUCUUUACCGGAAGAGGAGAGAAUAAUACUACUAAUGAGAAGUAAGAUCUGUAGAAUUCUUAGAGGGAAUAAGUUACACACUGAUCCCUGUUAUCCUUGGAGCCAAAUGAGGUAGCCUAGUUACGAUGCCCAUUUUGCAAAUGAAUGGAGAAUGGGCCAACCCCCCAACUAGGAAAUGGUAGAGGCAGAAUAUAAUUCUUUCUGGACCCUUGGCAAUUACAGUCUGAUGACUGAACCCAGUUCAAUGCCUGUUUUUGUAAAUAAAGUUUUAUUGGAACACAGUCAUGCUCAC